UGGAAGGCUUGAAUCCGGGAGAGGGAUGCGGAAUUCCAGGUGUAGCGGUGAAAUGCGUAGAUAUCUGGAGGAACACCGGUGGCGAAGGCGGCAUCCUGGACCGGUAUUGACGCUGAGGCGCGAAAGCCAGGGGAGCAAACGGGAUUAGAUACCCCGGUAGUCCUGGCCCUAAACGAUGGAUGCUUGGUGUGGCGGGUAUCGAUCCCUGCCGUGCCGGAGCUAACGCGUUAAGCAUCCCGCCUGGGGAGUACGGUCGCAAGGCUGAAACUCAAGGGAAUUGACGGGGGCCCGCACAAGCGGUGGAGCAUGUGGUUCAAUUCGACGCAACGCGAAGAACCUUACCCAGGCUUGAACUGGAAGUGACAUUCGGCGAAAGUCGACUUCCGCAAGGACGCUUCUAGAGGUGCUGCAUGGCUGUCGUCAGCUCGUGUCGUGAGAUGUUGGGUUAAGUCCCGCAACGAGCGCAACCCUCGUUUCCUGUUGCCAUCAGGUUAAGCUGGGCACUCUGGAGAGACUGCCGGUAAUAAACCGGAGGAAGGUGGGGAUGACGUCAAGUCAGCAUGGCCUUUAUGUCUGGGGCUACACACGUGCUACAAUGGCCGGUACAAACCGCUGCGAUCCCGCGAGGGGGAGCUAAUCGGAAAAAGCCGGUCUCAGUUCGGAUUGCAGGCUGCAACCCGCCUGCAUGAAGUUGGAAUCGCUAGUAAUCGCAGAUCAGCAGGCUGCGGUGAAUACGUUCCCGGGCCUUGUACACACCGCCCGU
rnacentral:rRNA from 1 species